rnacentral:rRNA from 1 species
AUUGGACAUGGAGGCAACUCUGAUCCAGCCAUGCCGCGUGAAGGAAGACGGCCUUAUGGGUUGUAAACUUCUUUUAUACAGGAAGAAACCUUUCCACGUGUGGAAAGUUGACGGUACUGUAAGAAUAAGGAUCGGCUAACUCCGUGCCAGCAGCCGCGGUAAUACGGAGGAUCCAAGCGUUAUCCGGAAUUAUUGGGUUUAAAGGGUCCGCAGGCUGUUUGUUAAGUCAGAGGUGAAAUCCUACCGCUCAACGGUAGAACUGCCUUUGAUACUGGCAAACUUGAGUUAUUGUGAAGUAGUUAGAAUGUGUAGUGUAGCGGUGAAAUGCAUAGAUAUUACACAGAAUACCGAUUGCGAAAGCAGAUUACUAACAAUAUACUGACGCUGAGGGACGAAAGCGUGGGUAGCGAACAGGAUUAGAUACCCUGGUAGUCCACGCCGUAAACGAUGGUCACUAGCUGUUCGAUGUACAUUGGUACGUUGAGUGGCUAAGCGAAAGUGAUAAGUGACCCACCUGGGGAGUACGCUCGCAAGAGUGAAACUCAAAGGAAUUGACGGGGGCCCGCACAAGCGGUGGAGCAUGUGGUUUAAUUCGAUGAUACGCGAGGAACCUUACCAGGACUUAAAUGUAAGUUGCAUGAUUCAGAAAUGAAUCUUUCUUCGGACUACUUACAAGGUGCUGCAUGGUUGUCGUCAGCUCGUGCCGUGAGGUGUCAGGUUAAGUCCUAUAACGAGCGCAACCCCUAUCGUUAGUUGCCAUCAAGUAAAGUUGGGAACUCUAGCGAAACUGCCGGUGCAAACCGAGAGGAAGGUGGGGAUGACGUCAAAUCAUCACGGCCCUUACGUUCUGGGCUACACACGUGCUACAAUGGUCGGUACAGAAAGCAGCCACUAUGCGAAUAGGAGCUAAUCUUUAAAACCGAUCUCAGUUCGGAUCGCAGUCUGCAGCUCGACUGCGUGAAGCUGGAAUCGCUAGUAAUCGGAUAUCAGCCAUGAUCCGGUGAAUACGUUCCCGGGCCUUGUACACACCGCCCGUCAAGCCAUGGAAGCUGGGGGUACCUAAAGUCGGUGACCGAAAGGAGCUGCCUAGGGUAAAACUAGUGACUGGGGCUAAGUCGUAACAAGGUAGCCGUACCGGAAGGUGCGGCUGGAAUACCUCCUUUCU